UAGGGAAUCUUCCACAAUGGACGCAAGUCUGAUGGAGCAACGCCGCAUGAGUGAAGAAGGUUUUCGGAUCGUAAAGCUCUGUUGUUGGUGAAGAAGGAUAGAGGCAGUAACUGGUCUUUAUUUGACGGUAAUCAACCAGAAAGUCACGGCUAACUACGUGCCAGCAGCCGCGGUAAUACGUAGGUGGCAAGCGUUGUCCGGAUUUAUUGGGCGUAAAGCGAGCGCAGGCGGAAUGAUAAGUCUGAUGUGAAAGCCCACGGCUCAACCGUGGAACUGCAUCGGAAACUGUCAUUCUUGAGUGCAGAAGAGGAGAGUGGAAUUCCAUGUGUAGCGGUGGAAUGCGUAGAUAUAUGGAAGAACACCAGUGGCGAAGGCGGCUCUCUGGUCUGCAACUGACGCUGAGGCUCGAAAGCAUGGGUAGCGAACAGG
rnacentral:rRNA from 1 species